rnacentral:rRNA from 1 species
AGAGAGAGACAUGCGCGCAUAUCAAUAAGCGGAGGAAAAGAAACUAACAAGGAUUCCCUUAGUAACGGCGAGGUGAAGCGGGAAGAGCUCAAAUUUGAAAUCUUCAAGGUUCUACCUUGACGAAUUGUAGUUUAUAGAAGUGUUUUCUGUUAGUGGAGUGGCAAAAGUUCUUUGGAAUAGGACAUCAUAGAGGGUGAGAAUCCCGUAUUUGGUCAUUCCUCCUAGCGUUGUGAUACACUCUCAACGAGUCGGAUUGUUUGGGAAUGCAGUCCAAAAUGGGUGGUAAAUUUCAGUCUAAAGCUAAAUAUUGGCGAGAGACCGAUAGCGAACAAGUACCGUGAGGGAAAGAUGAAAAGAACUUUGAAAAGAGAGUUAAACAGUACGUGAAAUUGUCAAAAGGGAAGCGUUUGACACCAGUGUUGUUUUUCCGAAAAUCAAUUACGAAUGUUUUGUUUUUGAGGAGUUAUGACUUCAUCGGCUUGCUCCUUUCUUUACGAAACUUUCUUAAUGCACUUUUCGGUUAACAAGUCAACAUCAAUUUCUUUUGUUGUAAAAGGGUACUGAGGAAGGUGGCUUUCUUUUCGGAGAAAGUGUUUAUAGCCUCGUGCCUCUGCAAUCGGAGAGAUUGAGGUCUGCAGCGUAGAUCCUUCGGGGUUAGAUACAUUUGUGCUAAGUUAUAGCUUUUCAUAGACAACUUGUUGACUAUGUUUAGUCUUGUAGCUUACUCGCUUACUGCUAUUUUACCUACGCUUAGGAUGUUGAUAGUCACAGCGUGUAC